rnacentral:rRNA from 1 species
AAGCGUGCGCAGGCGGUUUGUAAGACUGUCGUGAAAUCCCCGGGCUCAACCUGGGAAUGGCGAUGGUGACUGCAAGGCUAGAGUUUGGCGAGAGGGGGGUAGAAUUCCACGUGUAGCAGUGAAAUGCGUAGAUAUGUGGAGGAACACCGAUGGCGAAGGCACGCCCCCUGGGUCAAAACUGACGCUCAUGCACGAAAGCGUGGGGAGCAAACAGGAUUAGAUACCCCGGU